CUUAGAUGCUUGAACAACGUUCUGGGUGGAAUGUCGUUUGUUAUACUGGCAAGGUUGACAGGGUCGCAGAGCAUCGGAGAAGCAAAACCUGUUGGGGCUGAGGGCGCAGAGAAGGAGAAGUUGCUUGAUGGGGAGGAGCUGCACAGCAAUCAGUCGACUUUCAAGUGAAGAAAUGAUCACUCUUGUUAUCCACAUUUUUAUAUGGGCAAUAAACAUCCAAUGUGAGGAGUCUUGUCCGGGAAUAAAGUUUGUCAUUUAGCUUGUAGCUGUGUGAUAAUUUUGAUGCUUUUAUCACUUGAAUGAUUGAAUUGAGACAACGCCACGAUUUCCAACUCGAGACUAAAUCAAUCAAAAUCGACAAGAAUGAGGCCAACCAUGCUGUAUGGUUGGCGGAACGCUAGGAGUUUCAAUGUCCUGUUGGUGUUGAACCGUAUGCCUUCGGACGCUGUAAAAAAAACAGUAAGAGUCUUUGUGCUUUAUUGGAAAUUUAGGACGCUGC
rnacentral:misc_RNA from 1 species